UACGUAGGGUGCGAGCGUUGUCCGGAAUUAUUGGGCGUAAAGGGCUCGUAGGCGGUCUGUCGCGUCGGGAGUGAAAACUCAGGGCUUAACCCUGAGCCUGCUUCCGAUACGGGCAGACUAGAGGUAUGCAGGGGAGAACGGAAUUCCUGGUGUAGGCGGUGAAAUGCGCAGAUAUCAGGAGGAACACCGGUGGCGAAGGCGGUUCUCUGGGCAUUACCUGACGCUGAGGAGUGAAAGUGUGGGGAGCGAACAGG
rnacentral:rRNA from 1 species